rnacentral:rRNA from 2 species
UAGGGAAUCUUCGGCAAUGGACGAAAGUCUGACCGAGCAACGCCGCGUGAGUGAAGAAGGUUUUCGGAUCGUAAAACUCUGUUGUUAGAGAAGAACAAGGACGUUAGUAACUGAACGUCCCCUGACGGUAUCUAACCAGAAAGCCACGGCUAACUACGUGCCAGCAGCCGCGGUAAUACGUAGGUGGCAAGCGUUGUCCGGAUUUAUUGGGCGUAAAGCGAGCGCAGGCGGUUUCUUAAGUCUGAUGUGAAAGCCCCCGGCUCAACCGGGGAGGGUCAUUGGAAACUGGGAGACUUGAGUGCAGAAGAGGAGAGUGGAAUUCCAAGUGUAGCGGUGAAAUGCGUAGAUAUAUGGAGGAACACCAGUGGCGAAGGCGGCUCUCUGGUCUGUAACUGACGCUGAGGCUCGAAAGCGUGGGGAGCAAACAGG